UAGUCCAUGCUGUAAACGGUGGGCGCUAGGUGUGAGUCCCUUCCGCGGGGUUCGUGCCGUAGCUAACGCAUUAAGCGCCCCGCCUGGGGAGUACGGCCGCAAGGCUAAAACUCAAAGGAAUUGACGGGGACCCGCACAAGCGGUGGAUGAUGUGGAUUAAUUCGAUGCAACGCGAAAAACCUUACCUACCCUUGACAUGCCACUAACGAAGCAGAGAUGCAUUAGGUGCUCGAAAGAGA
rnacentral:rRNA from 1 species